rnacentral:misc_RNA from 1 species
UGGCAUCCAAUCUGUGCUUUCAGGUCUACCUUUUCCUUGUAUCAUUCGAUCUAAUUAUAGGAACAUUAGAGCAUAUGUAAGAAAAUUAAAGUCCACGGACCAUAAUCCAUAUUCAUAUGCAUAACCUACUUGUAUCACUAGUCUAAAAAUUAAAGUCCAUGGACCAUAAUCCAUAUUCAUAUGCAUAACCUACUUGUAUCACUAGUCUAAAAAUUAAAGUCCAU